UUCUCGAUAGCUCAGUUGGUAGAGCACUGGACUGGUUAAUCAGAGGUUGCGGGUUCGAAACCCGCUUGAGGAG